rnacentral:lncRNA from 1 species
UUUAGUUUAGUUUAAACAAUAUUUUAUUCAAAUAAAUUGAAUUGGAUUGGGCAACAGGCAUAGCCUAUGUAAGCCCUCUCCACAAAACAAGGUACAAUAUAUUACAUUCAAACAAAGCAACACAUACACAAACAUAAAGACAAAACAGAAUUAAUUUUUCAAAAAUACCUCUUAGCUGACUGGAAUGAUAUUUCAAAUAGUU